ensembl:snoRNA LOC120102065 small nucleolar RNA SNORA17
CCAGCUACUAGAAGCAUUUUAGGUUUGGCUGCUUUGUCGCAUGUGUGUCAGUAGGGGACAGAAGAGAGAGGCUAUGUCUACAUUAAGUGUUCUGUUCUAUUAACAUCUGAAUGAUUAGUAACCUAACCUU